UUUUGGGGGAAAAACACCCACUCCCACCCCGUGUUAACUGAACCCUAGCCUCCCACUAAUCAACUUCUCUCUCAUCAAUUCGUAUUCUCGAAAAAUCACAGAUCCAUCAACUGAUUUCAACCACAGAUCGAGGGCUCUUUGGUUCCUAUUCGCGUUUUCCCUACGUUUGAAGCUUAUCUUGCUGAUGUAACUUGUAAUUUUGUGUAUUCCGCUGUUAAUUUGCGAUAUCAAAUUAUGUUUUAUAUCUUCGUUUUUAAUCCUUCCUCUUCGUAGAUCUAUUGUUCAAUUCUAGGGAUUUUAAUUCAUUAUUUGGCAAGAUUGGUUUCGUUUUUUAUUUGGGUAAUUUAUUGGUUUUUUUAUAACUAUUUUGUUACUAGAUUGAAGAUUUGGAAGGUAGCUUGGGAAAUCAUUAACCGUGUUUGGUUGAGGUAAUGAAAUUUAUUAUUAAAUAUUCGAGUUUAAUUCAGAUUUGUGUAUUUAUAGUUUAUCUGGUCAAUGGUUCCUGAUGAUAUCAAGGAAAAGGCCAACAAACAAGAGAAGGCUUCAGUCAUUGAUGUCACUCAGUUCGGUUUUUUUUAAGGUUCUUGGUAAGGAUGUUCUGCCUAAUUCUCAUCUUGUUGUUAUUUAGGGUAAGUUUAUUUCUAAAAUUGCUGAAGAGAAGAUCAAGGCCGGAGAACGGUGGGGUUGUGCUUUUCGAUCACUGCCUAAGUGUUCUUUAUUUUUAGAUAUUACAAUUUUGGUUAUAUAUUUGUGUUAGGAGGAACAUUUAUAUUCUUUUUGAUCUAUAUCUGGGAUUUGCUUUUGUUGUUCUUAAUUCAUUCCAUUAAAUGAUAUGAACUAGUUUUCAGCAAAUUUGGUUUUUAUAUUUAUGUUAAAUCAGAUAUUUGGGAUGUUCAAAUUGUCUUCUUUUAAUUUGAUUGGAUGAUGCUUUAUGGUCUUUUAAGUUUGAAUUGAAUCUUCUUUGGGUGUCCAAAAACAGUAACAUAUGGGCAUUAUUUACAGCAAUUUGUUGUCUUGAGACUCAAGUGAGAUUGAAGUGAAGCUUUAGUGGAAGGCAAUUUUUCUGUCUCCUUGUAUUUUGUCAAUGAAUAUGGGUUCAUUUAUUGGUUUAAUGAAAUGAAUUUCAUAGUUUGACCAUAUUUGGCUUAAAUUUUAUGGCCAUUAGCACCACAUGAUUCCCAAUAGCGAAAUUACGGUCAUAUUCUAUAGUAAUUGAGUUCAUUAAGCUGCCUGGGCUUAACAAUUGUUUGAUAUUCUCUGUACGAUGUUACUGAAUUUGCAGAUAUGAGAAGAAUAUCUUUCGUUUCAGUUUUUCAAUAUGUGUACCGAUUUAUUCAAUUAUUAUUACUAGCUUCUUUCAGAUUUUUUUUUUCCAUCUUUAGGGUUUUAUCUGAGGAUUUCAUGUGUUCACUACAACAAAACACGCUAAUUCUCGACGACAUGAGCUCGACGCGAGGGAUUACCUCUGUUCCAGGCCUGCCAGCUAUGGAGAUGACCAAGCGGCUCAACAUCAUGAACUUGCUCUUCCCACAAGGGAUUGAAUGAAUACACUGGAGAUCAAGGAAAAUUCGACAGCCAAUGUACCAAGGCCCAACCCUCAAGGUCUUAUCACGUGUACCAUCAGGACAACAAAUUCUGAUCCAAUGAUAACCCUCAAGAUUCUGAUGAGGCAUUGAGAGAGCAUUGACUAAUGCGAUUAAUUUGAUGAUACUAGAUCUUGGAUGUAAUUGAGUUUGGAAAUUUUUACAGCAUCACUCUAGCUAGCGUGUUUUGUAAAUUAUGUUCAGAGGCUGCAAGAUAGGAUUGUGUGCUUCAAGAGUACUUGGUUGAGCUAGUUUAAUGACCAAGUGAUCCUUGAACAACAUCUCCUAGUUCUGUAGGUCUAUUCCUCAUUUUCUACUUAUUUGAUUGAUUUUUCUUAAUCUAUUUGUUAAAGUCGGUUUGAAUAUGAGUGCAUAAACUAUCAGAGUGGUGGAAAAGAAGCUCGAGACUCCUAAAAUCAAUCUCACAUAUCCGGUUCUAACAGCUUUGCGAACCAGCAAGCUUAUUAUGUAUGAAUCAUGAAUUUAGCCCUAUAAAUUACACUACAAAAUGUACUAUAAAAUUGGGUGAAAGAGUAUAAAUGGACUCACAAUGCUUUCUUUUACUCAUAGAUUUUGUGUUUGUUAAAUUAUGCAUCUUAUCAAAUUUUCUAUAGUGCUUUUUACAUUGCUACUCAUGUAUAGGAAGACAAUCAUAGAGAAAAAAUGAAUUUAUUAUCCCAUUGGAUAAAAUCUCAUACGGGUAAGGACGAAACCUUUCUGUUGUGGUAUGAGUCCAAACUUAGUCGACUUAUUAAGCUAUUUUUUAGUGAAAAAGCUAGGUGUCAUUGAUACCACUCUUAGCUUGAGGGGGGUGUAGAUCCAGUCCAUAACUCUGUCAAUAAAAGCAAGACCUCGUAAUAAGUUUAAUCUGUAAGCUAGCCUGAAAAUGAAGUCUUCUGAUAACUUUUCGGUGUUCUCUUUAUUGUAUAAGCAAAUAGUACUAUAGAAUGGUUCUGCAAAUUCAUGAAGUUCUAAAGUUAAAACGAUGGGAUAAUAAUAUGCUAUGCAAUACAAGAUGUAUGCUAAAUUAUAACUUUUUAUUUCAUUGAAAAAACAAAGUGGUAUUCUACCGCAAUGGUUACCAAACUCCACAAAACCUGAACGACCCCUUUUAUUUAUCAUAUACAUGUCUGGUUGUUGAUUCUUGUUUUUGUUAUGGAUGCAUAAUAUUGGAGUUGUUAUUGUAGCUUAAAACUAAGUGCUGGCACCAAAUAUGAGUUAUGCUCUUCCACUUUUAUUCCUUGUAAAAAUUUACAGGUUCUGCUCUACCUGAUAUGGUUGUGCUAUUUUCGAAAUAGUCUAAGCAUUAGAA